AGCAGCCGCCGCGGGAAUACAGAGGGUGCGAGCGUUAAUCGGAUUUACUGGGCGUAAAGCGUGCGUAGGCGGCUUUUUAAGUCGGAUGUGAAAUCCCUGAGCUUAACUUAGGAAUUGCAUUCGAUACUGGGAAGCUAGAGUAUGGGAGAGGAUGGUAGAAUUCCAGGUGUAGCGGUGAAAUGCGUAGAGAUCUGGAGGAAUACCGAUGGCGAAGGCAGCCAUCUGGCCUAAUACUGACGCUGAGGUACGAAAGCAUGGGGAGCAAACAGGAUUAGAUACCCCGGUAGUCCCUGUCUCUUAUAA
rnacentral:rRNA from 1 species